rnacentral:rRNA from 1 species
AGGUAAGCUACUAAGAGCGAAUGGUGGAUGCCUUGACUGGUAAAGGCGAUGAAGGACGUACUAGACUGCGAUAAGCUACGGGGAGCUGUCAAGAAGCUUUGAUCCGUAGAUUUCCGAAUGGGGCAACCCAAUGUAUAGAGAUAUACAUUACCUAUAUAGGAGCGAACGAGGGGAAUUGAAACAUCUUAGUACCCUCAGGAAAAGAAAUCAAUAGAGAUUGCGUCAGUAGCGGCGAGCGAAAGCGUAAGAGGGCAAACCCAGUGCUUGCACUGGGGGUUGUAGGACUGCAAUGUGCAAGAGGUGAGUUUAGCAGAACAUUCUGGAAAGUAUAGCCAUAGAGGGUGAUAGUCCCGUAUGCGAAAAACAAACCUUAGCUAGCAGUAUCCUGAGUAGGGCGGGACACGAGAAAUCCUGUCUGAAGCUGGGUCGACCACGAUCCAACCCUAAAUACUAAUACCAGAUCGAUAGUGCACAAGUACCGUGAGGGAAAGGUGAAAAGAACUGAGGUGAUCAGAGUGAAAUAGAACCUGAAACCAUUUGCUUACAAUCAUUCAGAGCACUAUGUAGCAAUACAGUGUGAUGGACUGCCUUUUGCAUAAUGAGCCUGCGAGUUGUGGUGUCUGGCAAGGUUAAGCAAACGCGAAGCCGUAGCGAAAGCGAGUCUGAAUAGGGCGCUUAGUCAGAUGCUGCAGACCCGAAACGAAGUGAUCUAUCCAUGAGCAAGUUGAAGCUAGUGUAAGAACUAGUGGAGGACUGAACCCAUAGGCGUUGAAAAGCCCCGGGAUGACUUGUGGAUAGGGGUGAAAGGCCAAUCAAACUUCGUGAUAGCUGGUUCUCUCCGAAAUAUAUUUAGGUAUAGCGUUGUGUCGUAAUAUAAGGGGGUAGAGCACUGAAUGGGCUAGGGCAUACACCAAUGUACCAAACCCUAUCAAACUCCGAAUACCUUAUAUGUAAUCACAGCAGUCAGGCGGCGAGUGAUAAAAUCCGUCGUCAAGAGGGAAACAACCCAGACUACCAGCUAAGGUCCCUAAAUCUUACUUAAGUGGAAAACGAUGUGAAGUUACUUAAACAACCAGGAGGUUGGCUUAGAAGCAGCCAUCCUUUAAAGAAAGCGUAAUAGCUCACUGGUCUAGUGAUUUUGCGCGGAAAAUAUAACGGGGCUAAAGUAAGUACCGAAGCUGUAGACUUGAUUUUAUCAAGUGGUAGGAGAGCGUUCUAUUUGCGUCGAAGGUAUACCGGUAAGGAGUGCUGGAGCGAAUAGAAGUGAGCAUGCAGGCAUGAGUAGCGAUAAUUAAUGUGAGAAUCAUUAACGCCGUAAACCCAAGGUUUCCUACGCGAUGCUCGUCAUCGUAGGGUUAGUCGGGUCCUAAGUCGAGUCCGAAAGGGGUAGACGAUGGCAAAUUGGUUAAUAUUCCAAUACCAACAUUAGUGUGCGAUGGAAGGACGCUUAGGGCUAAGGGGGCUAGCGGAUGGAAGUGCUAGUCUAAGGUCGUAGGAGGUUAUAUAGGCAAAUCCGUAUAACAAUACUCCGAGAACUGAAAGGCUUUUUGAAGUCUUCGGAUGGAUAGAAGAACCCCUGAUGCCAUCGAGCCAAGAAAAGUUUCUAAGUUUAGCUAAUGUUGCCCGUACCGUAAACCGACACAGGUGGGUGGGAUGAGUAUUCUAAGGCGCGUGGAAGAACUCUCUUUAAGGAACUCUGCAAAAUAGCACCGUAUCUUCGGUAUAAGGUGUGGUUCGCUUCGUAUUAGGAUUUACUCCGAAAGCGAAGAAACUUACAACAAAGAGUCCCUCCCGACUGUUUACCAAAAACACAGCACUCUGCUAACUCGUAAGAGGAUGUAUAGGGUGUGACGCCUGCCCGGUGCUCGAAGGUUAAUUGAUGGGGUUAGCAUUAGCGAAGCUCUUGAUCGAAGCCCGAGUAAACGGCGGCCGUAACUAUAACGGUCCUAAGGUAGCGAAAUUCCUUGUCGGUUAAAUACCGACCUGCAUGAAUGGCGUAACGAGAUGGGAGCUGUCUCAAAGAGGGAUCCAGUGAAAUUGUAGUGGAGGUGAAAAUUCCUCCUACCCGCGGCAAGACGGAAAGACCCCGUGGACCUUUACUACAGCUUGACACUGCUAUUUGGAUAAGAAUGUGCAGGAUAGGUGGGAGGCUUUGAGUAUAUGACGCCAGUUGUAUAUGAGCCAUUGUUGAGAUACCACUCUUUCUUAUUUGGGUAGCUAACCAGCUUGAGUUAUCCUCAAGUGGGACAAUGUCUGGUGGGUAGUUUGACUGGGGCGGUCGCCUCCCAAAUAAUAACGGAGGCUUACAAAGGUUGGCUCAGAACGGUUGGAAAUCGUUCGUAGAGUAUAAAGGUAUAAGCCAGCUUAACUGCAAGACAUACAAGUCAAGCAGAGACGAAAGUCGGUCUUAGUGAUCCGGUGGUUCUGUGUGGAAGGGCCAUCGCUCAAAGGAUAAAAGGUACCCCGGGGAUAACAGGCUGAUCUCCCCCAAGAGCUCACAUCGACGGGGAGGUUUGGCACCUCGAUGUCGGCUCAUCGCAUCCUGGGGCUGGAGCAGGUCCCAAGGGUAUGGCUGUUCGCCAUUUAAAGCGGUACGCGAGCUGGGUUCAGAACGUCGUGAGACAGUUCGGUCCCUAUCUGCCGUGGGCGUAAGAAGAUUGAAGAGAUUUGACCCUAGUACGAGAGGACCGGGUUGAACAAACCACUGGUGUAGCUGUUGUUCUGCCAAGAGCAUCGCAGCGUAGCUAAGUUUGGAAAGGAUAAACGCUGAAAGCAUCUAAGCGUGAAGCCAACUCUAAGAUGAAUCUUCUCUAAGCUCUCUAGAAGACUACUAGUUUGAUAGGCUGGGUGUGUAAUGGAUGAAAGUCCUUUAGCUGACCAGUACUAAUAGAGCGUUUGGCUUAUCUUU